CUCGAACUAUCAUGAGAGGUACAGCCUGCCCAGUGACCCAAUGUUCAACGGCCGCGGUAUCCUAACCGUGCGAAGGUAGCGUAAUCACUUGUUCUUUAAAUGAGGACUAGUAUGAAUGGCAUCACGAGGGUUAUACUGUCUCCUUUUUCCAAUCAGUGAAACUAAUCUCCUCGUGAAGAAGCGAGGAUUAUUUUAUAAGACGAGAAGACCCUAUGGAGCUUUAAACUAACCAGCAUUUGCUAUAUUGUAUAAUUUUUCAGAAAUAUAAAAAACAGCUUAGCUCUUUGACUAUAAGUUUUCGAUUGGGGUGAUCACGGAACAAAAAAUAACUUCCGUGCCGAAAGGAUUAUUCCUGAGCCAAAAGUGACAACCUUAAGCACUAAAAAAUUAACGCUUAUUGACCCAAUAAUUUGAUCAACGAAC
rnacentral:rRNA from 1 species